GAUCAUGGCUCAGGAUGAACGCUGGCUACAGGCUUAACACAUGCAAGUCGAGGGGCAGCAUGACGAUAGCUUGCUAUUGUUGAUGGCGACCGGCGCACGGGUGGGUAACGCGUAUCCAACCUUCCCGUUGCUAGGGGAUAACCUUGCGAAAGUAAGACUAAUACCCUAUGAAGUUCUUCGCAGACAUCUAAAGAGAACGAAAGAUUUAUCGGCAACGGAUGGGGAUGCGU
rnacentral:rRNA from 1 species